rnacentral:lncRNA from 1 species
CCCCGGACCUACCCCUCGCGGGGCCUCGGCCUCCAGCGCCAACCGCCUUCGCGCCAACCGCCUUCGGGAGCGUCUGGGCUCUUGCACCUGCCCCCCCGCGCGGACCCGGGACACCCGGCCAGGCGCCCGCGUCCUGCCGCUCCCGAGCGUGUUUGCGGACGUUGGAGCCGGUCGGGGCCACCGGGUGGUUUUUCUCUUUGUCCUUGUAAAGAGCGAGCGCAGGUAUAUGUAGGCAUAAAUGAACAUGGGAACUGGCCUGAGUGGAAAUAUCCAGAGAAUGCCUUGAGCAUGACCCAGAGUCGGAACCUGAGAAAGAUUUCAAGAUGGCCAAGUAGCUUUGGACAGGGUUAGCUGCGAGAAGCGGGGGCCAAACAUACCCCUUGACCAUCACGAUGCAGGUUUUAUCUAUUUAUUCAUGAGAGACACAGAGAGAGAGAGGCAGAGACACAGGCACAGGGAGAAGUAAGCUCCCUGCAGGGAGCCCUAAGCGGGACACGACCCCAGGACCCCAGGAUCAUGCUCUGGGCUGAAGGCAGACACUCAACCACUGAGCCCCCCAGGACGACGAGGCAGGCUUGGCGACAGUGCGACACCUGGAGCCCUGAUGGCCCGGCUCCUACCCGGCUCAGGGCUGCGGCCCAGGGCGCACAGCAGGCCAGGUGGGGGUGCAGGAGAGAGGGGGACCCCAGCCGCGCGGGGGCUGGCGCUGGCGCUGGCGAGACACGGCAAGGAACCAGGCCGGCUAGAGGCAGGACCCCCGUUCUGGCGAGAAGGCAUCGGGCUGUACGUUGAGCUUACAGUCUAGUUAAGUAUCAUCAUUCCACAGUGCAGCAGCGCUGUGUCGGGUAAACACUCCUCCAAACACCAGUAGCCUUUGCCGGGGACGAGUGACCGCCAUACAGAGGAUCACAAUUGCCCUGCUUUUCCUCUAGGAGAAAUUAAUCUGAGUGUGACAACUUAGUUUAGGCCAGAAACACUAAAAAUUUCAACCUAAUGGGCUUUAAUUAAUUAAAAUGAGGCUUUGGAAGAUGCCUCUCAAAUGUAAGGCGCAGCAAAUCUGUGCACCGUGAAGUUGUAGAUAUUAAGCCCCUUAAUAAAACUGCCCUAGAAAAAUGCA